rnacentral:rRNA from 1 species
UACGAAGGGGGCUAGCGUUGUUCGGAAUUACUGGGCGUAAAGCGCGUGUAGGCGGGCCGUUAAGUCGGGGGUGAAAACCCAGAGCUCAACUCUGGAACUGCCUUCGAUACUGGCGGCCUGGAGCAUGAUAGAGGCGAGUGGAAUUGCGAGUGUAGAGGUGAAAUUCGUAGAUAUUCGCAGGAACACCAGUGGCGAGGGCGACUCGCUGGAUCAUUGCUGACGCUGAGACGCGAAAGCGUGGGGAGCAAACAGG